rnacentral:misc_RNA from 1 species
AGACAUUAUCCCGUUCAGUUGUCUAUCAGCUUGUCCUAGAAUUUUCAUCCGGACAAAUUUAUUGUAUUAAAUUUCUUGAAAAAGAACAAAUGUAGAAUGGUGUCAAACUUGAAUCCCUUCAUGUUUCUGGGGCUUAAAGGAUACAAGCAAGCCAAACAAAAUAGAUAUACAGUUGGAAAAUAGCAUUGCUCACUUAAAGUGCUGUCACAUAUACCUCCUUUUUCCAAUUUGAAUUUGCUCAAUUUCUAAGGAUCCCAUUUGAAGAUUACAAGGUCAAUCCAUCCUUCACAAUUUGCUCCAACCAAGUUGCCAAAUCCGACAUAGUAGGACGGCUAUUAGGAUUUUCCCUGACAGCCAGUUCUGCUAUAUCAGCAAGUUUAAGUAAUGGCUCAAAAUUUCUUGGAAGAGCCACAUAUCGAUCAAUUAUGGCAGCUGCCUUACCCUGUUUAAUUAAUGGUAUUGCCCAAUCAACUAUACUUGGAGGAGUGCUAUCUUUAUCAUAUGCUUUUCUUCCACUAAGAAUCUCUAGAAGUAUAAUUCCAAAAUUGUAAACAUCAGUUUUCAUGUCUCCACCAAGAUCCUUCUCAUUUGCAGUAAGAAGCCCAAAAUCUGCAAUUCUUGCUCCCCACUCAGAAUCCAAAAGAAUAUUUGAAGUCUUGACAUUCCUAUGGACAAUUGGAGGCUUAGCUUCCUUGUGAAGGUACUCAAGCCCCUUUGCAGCCUGCAUUGCAAUCUUCAACCUAAAGCUCCAAUUCAAAGGAGAAAGUUCACCGUGGAGGUGAUCAUGAAGUGUGCCAUGAGGCAUAUACUCAUAAACAAGCAGCCUCUCUCCCAUCUCUGAGCAGUAACCCAACAAGUUCACAAUAUUGCAAUGUCGAACGUUGCAUAGAACUUCCAACUCCAUUUCAAAAUCCCUACUGUUAGUGUGGAUUAUUGUGGCAGCAUUUGCCCUCUUGACUGCAACUUGCCUCCCAUCAGUUAAGACUGCUUUAUAAACCAAACCAUAUCUUCCCCUUCCAAGCUUAUUGAAUUCUUUGAACCUGUUGGUGGCAUCUUUUAGCUCCGAAAGUCGGAAUACUUGAGCCAUACCAGGACAAGAAGUCGUGGAUGUAAGCUGGUGUGAAUCAGAAGCAUUGUCAUUUUCCAACUUAGGUUUUCCUAUGCAAGAUUUAAACUGUUUCUUUGAUCCUUCUUCUUUUCGAGUGACCAUCGAACGUGAAAAAACACAGCAACUGAUUAAUAUCAAUAAGAAACCCAAUGCAGAAGGCCCGAUUAUAAUUACUAAUCUACGCAAGUGGUGCCAUUGUUUCUGUGCAGAUGAUUGCAUCCCACAAACACCCCAACAAGAACUGUUCUGGCAAAGAGAGCAAGCUGUGCAUACUCUGUCGGCAUUCUCAGUACAGGGACUAGACAAGAAAAAACCUUGAGAGCAAUUCGAUCCACAUGGGGAACAAAUAUUUAAAUCCUUCCUAAAACACAAGCUUGUCAAGUCCGGCUCAUUUAGAAAGCUUGCAUUGAAAACAAACUCCCCUUCACCACAAGAGCCAGGACCACAUAGCCCUGGACUGAACAACUCCAGAGGAGGAUUAUACUCUGGUGGUGAAGUCCCACUGGCAAACCAGCAAUCAAUAACCAAAUCAUCUUCCCUGAUUCCACAUGUAGUGAAAUCAGACGAUGCAAUUGCAGUAAACCCAGCACCACCCUUCGGAACAGAUGACAAAUUAAAGCUUCCCCAACACUCAACAGCAUGAUUAUCUUCUCUAAUUCCACAAAAAUGGUUAGCACCAGCAGUUAAGGACACAAACUGCGUCCCAACUGGAAGGCUCGAAAAUGAAUCAUUACUAAUGCCCCAGCACUUGACCUCAUUAGACUCUUCCAAAAUUCCACAUAGAGAACGCAUCCCUGAAGCUAAAACUCUGUAAUUGUCUAAUACACUUGAAACGCCCAAGCUCGCUGAGUUUGGUCCCCAACAAACUGCUCCUCCUUCUCUGACCCUGCCACAACUGUACCCUUCACCAGACACAACCUUACUAAAAACAAGAUUACUAAUGGACUGAUCAUAAAAUUGGCUGCUUUGUGUAGAAGUUAAACUAUUAUUUGCACCCUUCACGAUAUCCCAACAAUCGAUUGUACCCGAGUAUUGAUCAGAGUAAUAAGAUCCUCUAAUAGCACAAAGAUGAUUCUUCCCUGCAGCGAUAUGCGAAUAACCAAUAUUUCUAUAAAUCGAAGGAACAAGAUCUAGACCCGAGUAAAUUGAGCUCCAACAAAGAGCUUGUGAGCUGUUUGCUAAAAUGCCGCAUAGAAAUCCUUCGCCACCAGAAAGGGGCGUCAUAAUGGGAAUGCUGCUAAAAUAACCGACGGAUGUAGACGCUGGGGAAGAUAAGGAGGAUGAUAAUGGUAAAGUAGUGUUCUUUGUCCAACAGAUAACUUCCUGCUAGACACUGGCAUCAAUGGCGCAAAAGAAUCCGUUACCUCCAAAUGCAGCGGAGAUGGGUCCCAUGGAUCCGAACCCAGAAACGCAAAAGCAGGAAAGGAGGGGGAUGAGAAGGAGAAAGGGGAUAAUGAAGAAGAAGGACUGCAUGGCUGAAGCGGGUAGAGGCGACGGCAGUGGGUAUUUUCAUUCUCUUUAAACAUUCAUCGUUUGAAAUUCUCUUUUACGGGUACCUUUCUUUUGAUUCAUGAUGUGGGUGAAGUGUUUUAUGAUCACUUUGGUUGAAUGUUGUUUUGUACGAAACAUUUAUUUUUUA